UUUCUUCUUCUUCUUCUUCUUCUUCUUCUUCUUCUCCAUCUUCUGUCUUUCUCAGACCCACAUUCCACAGACAAGCAAAUUUCUUCUGGCUUGGGCUUAGGACCUGAGCCUGUGUCAGCAUUGAAACAUUCACAACAUGCAGUUGAGAACAUUGGUAAGAUUUAUUUAUUUAUUUAUAUUUUUUUCCUCCUACUAAUUCUUGCUAAAUGAGUUUGUCUUAAAAUAUGCAGAAGUGUGUGGACCUCAAUGCGAAGAAGUCACAAAUUGCAAAAACGUUGCUGCCUGCAGAACUUCAUGGUCUUUAAGAUACCAUUCAGCUCAGAAAGAACUGCUCAACUACAUACUGGACAUAGAGAGGCCUGGGAAUGAGCUGAUUGUUCGAACGGCAAAGGCAUGCCUGACCCGUGCUGAUUUUUGGACCUUGGGCUUAAACAGAGACAUGGAGUCUACCGUAAGAUAUUGGUUGUUUUACAUUUGAUAAAAUGUAAAUAAUUUUUGUUUUGUUACAAGUGUUUCCUCAAUGUAAUUACAUGGUCUGUCUGAAUGCUUUAUUCUGAUUAGCUUGCAGGUGUUGCACGGCUAGCUGUGCAUCAAACAAUUUUAAUGCUUUGUCAGAUUGGAAAUGGUUGUUUUCAACUGAUUGGCAGAAUUGCAGAGUCAAAGGGAAAGGACAUUCAUAUUGUUGACCUGUAUACCGUACCAACAUGGCUACCCCCAAUCAGCUGUGAUCCAAUGUUAAGUCUGCCUGUAAGUAUGCACUUUCCCAUUACUAGUUAUGCUCACAAAUCAUAUGUUUUGAUUUAGAAUCUUUCAUUACUACUCUUGGAUGAUGCUUACUUAAAAGAAGCGGUGGUGAUUCC
ensembl:lncRNA